UACGUAGGGUGCGAGCGUUGUCCGGAAUUACUGGGCGUAAAGAGCUCGUAGGUGGUUUGUCGCGUUGUUCGUGAAAACUCACAGCUUAACUGUGGGCGUGCGGGCGAUACGGGCAGACUGGAGUACUGCAGGGGAGACUGGAAUUCCUGGUGUAGCGGUGGAAUGCGCAGAUAUCAGGAGGAACACUGAUGGCGAAGGCAGGUCUCUGGGCCACUACUGACGCUGAGGAGCGAAAGCGUGGGGAGCGAACAGG
rnacentral:rRNA from 1 species